rnacentral:misc_RNA from 1 species
UCCUAGUUAACCUAGGCAGUCUCAUUAGAGUCCCCACCUUGCGUGUUGGCAACUAAUGAUAAGGGUUGCGCUCGUUGCUGGACUUAACCAAACACCUCACGGCACGAGCUGACGACAGCCAUGCAGCACCUAUACAGCGACCCUUUCGGGAAAUACCAUCUCUGGUAUCGUCCUCUGUACUUCUAACCUGGGUAAGGUUCUUCGCGUUGCAUCGAAUUAAACCACAUGCUCCACUGCUUGUGCGGGCCCCCGUCAAUUCUUUUGAGUUUCACCCUUGCGAGCGUACUCCUCAGGCGGUAUACUUAACGCGUUAGCUCCGACACAGCCAGGGUUGAGCCCGGCUACACCAAGUAUACAUCGUUUACGGCAAGGACUAC